rnacentral:rRNA from 1 species
GGGACACGUGGUAUCCUGUCUGAAUAUGGGGGGACCAUCCUCCAAGGCUAAAUACUCCUGACUGACCGAUAGUGAACCAGUACCGUGAGGGAAAGGCGAAAAGAACCCCGGCGAGGGGAGUGAAAAAGAACCUGAAACCGUGUACGUACAAGCAGUGGGAGCACCUUCGGGUGUGACUGCGUACCUUUUGUAUAAUGGGUCAGCGACUUAUAUUCUGUAGCAAGGUUAACCGUAUAGGGGAGCCGCAGGGAAACCGAGUCUUAACUGGGCGUUAAGUUGCAGGGUAUAGACCCGAAACCCGGUGAUCUAGCCAUGGGCAGGUUGAAGGUUGGGUAACACUAACUGGAGGACCGAACCGACUAAUGUUGAAAAAUUAGCGGAUGACUUGUGGCUGGGGGUGAAAGGCCAAUCAAACCGGGAGAUAGCUGGUUCUCCCCGAAAGCUAUUUAGGUAGCGCCUCGUGAAUUCAUCUUCGGGGGUAGAGCACUGUUUCGGCUAGGGGGUCAUCCCGACUUACCAAC